GUAGCCAAACAGUGCCAUAUACUAAAAUUGGAACAAUACAGAGAAUAUUAGCAUGGCCCAUCCAAGUAGGAUAGGCAAAUUCAGGAAGCAUUUCAUAUUUUG
ensembl:snRNA U6 U6 spliceosomal RNA